AUUAAAUUAAACCAGCAUGUUUAUCACCUCUCGGUAGAAAUUCUUUAGGCUUGGAGCUAUAAUCCGUGAAUGGUGAAUGCAAGAGUGUGUUUAAAUGGAGAUUGAGUAUUUGAAAUAAAUCUGAUUAGUAAAGAAUUUUAACAAAGUCCACGAUUAAGAUAGAAAAGAUAGAAUGUUAGGUUUUCAAAGUCCCAGAAAUUCAUUUGGAAAAGACCGUGUGUUAGAUGUGUCCAGAGUUUGCC